GGGGGUGCGGUCGGUAGGAAGGCGCGAAGAAGCGGGAGCCGGGCUGCCGGGAGCGUCUCACGCACGUGCCACAAAUUGGAUACAUCUUGAAGAGUUGAAGCAAAGUUCAGCUUCUAAAAUAAUAGUGAGAAAGGCUUGAAAAUGCAUAUUGAAACCAACACUCCCUGCCCUUGCAAACAGUCAGAUAACAAUUUUGGGAUCUAACAUUGUUACACUAUCACCUCUACGGAAGGAGAGAGACUGUUCCAGACAAGAGUGAUGCUGGCCUCCCACGCUGAGCUAUGCCCUGGAGGGUGACCCAAGAAGGAGUACGUCCUUGCAUUCUUAAGAAGAAAGAAGGAAACUGCAGUGUUGUUCUAGAACCCUUAGGCUUUAGCUUGGUUUAAAUUCUGAAGCGAUCUGUGAGUCUCCAGAACCACUUUGCUACCUUCUGUGUGAAAGCUGUGGACCAAUGAGACUCUCCAACUGAACAGUACUCUGUGGAUCCCCCUUGCUUGUACGUUUUCACCCCUGUUAAUUUUCCAUGCGGAGUUUCUUUGUGUAUUCCUAUACGCUGCAUCAGGCAUUGCCUCGUCGUGCCGCAAGACUUGCCCAAUCUGUUAAGAGGCCGAAUGCUGUUAGUGUGUGCAGUGUUGGAGAGUAGCUUACACCAGAGAGAACUCCGUGUUCCACGUAGGUGUUUGGCAUGCUGGUCCUUCUCUGCAGCUUGAAAUUGGGAUGCAAAGUUAAUGAGCCACUUCUUGAAAAGUAAUGUUAGAAAGAGCAAAAGUUAAUUCUAGAGUUUUCCUUAUAAGUAAAUACAUAGCACCUGAUGUCUUGUUCAGCUGGGAACUCCUGAAAUAACUGCAAAAAAGUUGAUACGGAAGAAAGAUUUAGCUUCAACACUGGGAUUUGAGCUGUCAUCUCACUUGAUGUCAAAGGUAGUUGUGGUAUCUCAAGCAUCCAGGUUCACUGGCAAAUAGGACAAGCCUGAGCACAUAUAUAGGAAUUCAGUCUUGGGAAAAUAACUUCCCGUAGCACGGAACAGGGGAAGGGUGCCCUCUUCCAGCUCUGCUUUUUACUCUCAUAUCAUUAUUUCCACUGCCAUCAACUCCAGCAAUCAAGUGAUUAGCUUGCCGUUGUCAAUUAAGGGAGGACAUUUUUAGAGAUGGUGGCUAUCCUACCAUUUUUUUAUGAGCAAGAGUAUGGUAGCCUCUCAUGCAUGUUCACCACAAAUUCACUGUAAAUCUGUUGAUAGGAAGUCCUGACUGGAGGCUUGUUUACUAUAACAAAUACUGUCUAGUGUCAGGAGUGCUGCUUCUCACAAAGCAUGGAGCUCCUUGCUGCAAGUCUCCUGAAUGACAAACACAGGAGGCCUGAUCUCCUAUUUCCGAUGUCAUAGUCUGGGACCAGACAAAGUAGCAGUUUGGUAGAGAUCAGAACCCUGCAAAUUCAGUAGGUUAUUCUGGAGAGAAUUAUACCUUCAGAAAAGACUCGGUCUUGAAAAUGUAGAAUGUUUUGGGCUGCUCAUAUGUAAAAUAUGCAGGAGCAAAUGGACUUAGAAAGUUUUAAUGUGUACCAUCUCCUUAAAGAUGGCUACAGAUUUAAACUCCAAAGGGUUACCUGGUGGGAGUAUACCACACUGGUUUGUUCUAGCCAUACCUGAUCUCACAACUCUAGAAGUGGAGCUGCCCACAUGCCUUCUUUGUACUUGCUUUUUGGACUUGAACUCUUUCUUGAACUCCCAAAAUGUUCUGUAUAGUAUCAUCAAAUUCUUUUGUUUUAAAGCCAGUAUAUCAUCUGUAGUCUGCAGGUGGAAUUUCCUUAGACAUCUUUCAGCAUGGACAAGCUGGUGGAGGAAUCCCUCUCCCUGUUUUCCUUUGACACGGAAUUCUUUCUGAAUAAGGCAGCUACAUCCAACUUGCUUUCUCAAAACCACAUUCUUUGCUGGACAAAUCUGGCUUUAUUUUCUGUGUCUCUACAGCUUUUGCUCUCCAGAAUGGCAGAGGUUCGGUGCAGCACUUCUGUGGUGGUACCAAGUGUAUUGAAAAGCCACGCUUGCUCCAUGAAGAUUUUCUGGGUCACAGUGUGUUUCCAUGGAGUACUAUCCUCUUACUACCUGACCUCAUCAGAUCCAUUCUCAGAUAUGUGCUAUUUUCAAUAAUAGUGAUUAACAGAACCUACUGAUUAGUAAUAACGUAUUUGGUGUGACUUCCAAGUCAGGUAGCAAGUUAGAAUGAGCAGUAUAUCAAUCCCUGCUGGAUACGAUUGAAAUGUCAUGGUCUUCUAUAGUCCCAAGACAUACUCGCUAGUCACCUACAGCAAGAUUCAUUAUUUCACCGCCUGCAAAAACUACGGUGCUUGAAGUUAGACAUAUCAGUUCAAAUUGGUCUUUCAUUCCUGCUUUUCGAAGUUCUUUGCAGCUGCGAGCUGAGCUGCUAGGGAAGUGAGGGUAAUAGUCACAUCCUUACACUGUCUCAGAAGAGUAUGAAGCAUCUCAGGAUGUGCAUGUGAUCUUUACUGACACUGCUGUUUUAAAAAAAAAAAGAAAAGGUUUUCCAGGUGUGGAGUCAACAUUAUGCUUACAAUAGCUCAGAGGACCUCUCAGGCAAAUCCUUUUGCAGUAGACCAGGAGAAAUGUGACAAGACAGCAAUCUUGGAUUUGUGUGACAAAGUAUACAUACUGAAAAACGGCAAAAGAAAAAAGCAAACUAACCAAAAGAACCCAUAGGAUGCCAUUUUGUAUAUUGCAAAAUAUAAAUCUAACGCUUGCAUUAUUGCCACCUUGCCAGAUUUUAGUCAAGCUGCCUGAAAUAUGUGAGUAUUGGGCAUAUAAGGGAAGGCAGCAUAAACUAAUACAACCUGACAACAGGUUUGUCAGGGAGAAGGUAGCCCCUUUGUUUAACCUUUCAUAUUCAUUAACAGGUUUUCUUCCUGCAUCUUUUUUCUUACUGCUCUUUUCUUCAUCUACUCCAAGGUAAAAGCAGAAAAGCUUAAAUUACUAAAUUAUAUUGUUCUUGAAAUUGGGAACAAAAAAACCUGCAGUACUUCAUUUUUGUAUUCGAGAAGUAGCUCUCAUAUUGUCCCAGAGUUCAUAGAAUGGUCUGCAAUUUGCAUCUUCCCUGUACUACCCUCAUCAGGUUCUGACAAGUGUUGCGCAGUGAUCCGUGUUAUAUUUUGAUAGCGGAUGGUGAUCAAGAAAGUAGGGGAAACUGAUCUAAAACCCAAGAUCGGGGGGUUUUUUCUACUUAUUUAAAAAUAAUAAAAAUACCAACAAUUCAAUCUAAACAUGGAAAAUCAUGAAUUUGUAUACAUAACCUUAACUGUAUUUUGAGUUGUUUCAUGAAAUUCAGAAAUAAUUUUUAUAUUUGGUAGAUUUGCUGGGUAAGACAGGCUAUCUCUGUAUGCUAGCAUGAACACACCUGUUUGCUUAAGUUUUACCAGUAAAAGCAACUGUUAGAAGAGCUACCACUGUACCAUAUUUUCUGCACUCUAUAGAUUUUAAUAUUAUACUGACAGUUUCUGCAGAGUUAGAGAAAUAAAUAAUAGGAAAAAAUAAACUUGUCCAGGAAGUGGUCCCUUUACAGUGCUUUUGUUAGUAGAUUUUAUUUUCUUUUUAAUCAUGCCCAUUCCUUCCCCACGCCCGGCAGUUUUGGCUGUGUCCAUUGAUGUGUGUUGCAAAUGUGGGCAUGCUUUCAUUCAUGUUCAUGGUUUCAGAAGGUAGGUGAGUAAGUGUCCGCCCUCCCAAUAGGAACUGGAUGCGGCAACUUAUGACAUGCCACCUUCCAAAGAAGUCACCCCUUUGACAGAAGAUGAGCAUGAACAAGUACCUCUGCUCUUCAACAACUCUGUAAAGAAAGUGAGAUUUCUUGCCUUCGUGACUAUGCAGGAAUUUAAUACCACUGUUGAGAAGCUGAUAAUAAAAAUACUGUAUUUAUAUUAACUUGUUUUCAUCUUCAGAUUGGCAAUUGUAGCUCCCCUGUAGCUUUAUAGAAUUUGGCAAAUGCUGUCAAGGAGGGGGGGGGAAAAAAGCACCUUUGUGUUUCUAUGGCUAGGUAUUUAUAUACGUGUUGACCUAUUAUAAGAUGCUAGGCUAAUACCUUUGUGGCCUGCUGAUUUUCUGACUUGUAGGUAAAAACAAGUAAAUAACAUUUCUAGAACAGCUCUGAGGCAAAGUUAAGUAUUUUGUAUAAACAUUUGAAAGGAGCCGUUCAUGAUGCUCAGCAAACUAGAUAAAUGGAUAUCUUGUUUACUUGUGCAAAUCCUGCUACAGAAUGCAAUAUUAUCCAAGUUACGUUAUUAUCUGGUAGUUUUGUAUUCCUCCUAAAGCAGAGGAUGUCACGUGCUCUUACUGGAUUUAAUUUAGUGCUUUUAUAGACAAAUGUUUUCAAGAAAGUAUCUGAGAACUAUUUAUUAUAAAAGCCUCAAGUGUUGUGUAUGUUGCUUUUUGUUAAUAUUCUCGUGGAUGUCUAAAACAGUAAAAUCUUCAAGAGCCAAUCCGAAACCCUAUUUUGAUUUUAGUCUCUUAGUCCUUCCUAUUCAUUUCCUACCACAUCUGCCUAAGAAGCAACUUUUAAAAUCUGGUAAUUUGCAUAACUAAUGGUAUAUAUUAAAUCUUUUAAUCAUGUACAGACAGAAGUUUUAAAGGUGCAAAUAGCAGAAAGGGCUCUGUGACACUGGAUAUAUCUUGUCCAGAGUUAAGGCAGUGGCUCAGGAAGCUCCAUCGUAUACUUACUGGAGACAGUGACAAUCCUCAAUCCUUGUCUAAACACAGUUCAGGAUUCCCAUAGAGCAAUUGGUGAGUCAGGAGGCAUUUCAAAUAAAAUAAAACACGAUGCUUAAAUUUGAAAACUAUUGCUGUAGGGCAUGCAACUCUAUUUCCUCUCUUACAUUUUAGAAUUUUAUCAAAAUAAGGUGGCAUUGCAGCAGUUUGAUGCAUAAGACUAAAUGAAUAAGGAACAAAAUUGUACCCAAAGCAUGUAAAGUUGUUUAUCAUGUGUGACUGGAAAAUAAAAAAAGUCUUAUACUGAAACACCAAACUGAAAUUUGAAA